UACGUAGGGCGCAAGCGUUAUCCGGAAUUAUUGGGCGUAAAGAGCUCGUAGGCGGCUGUUCAAGUCGAACGUGAAAACUCGGAGCUCAACUCCGAGCCUGCGUUCGAUACUGGACGGCUAGAGUCUGGUAGGGGGAUCUGGAAUUCCUGGUGUAGCGGUGAAAUGCGCAGAUAUCAGGAGGAACACCGGUGGCGAAGGCGGGUCUCUGGGCCGUAACUGACGCUGAGGCGCGAAAGCCAGGGGAGCAAACGGG
rnacentral:rRNA from 1 species